UACGUAGGGUGCGAGCGUUGUCCGGAAUUACUGGGCGUAAAGAGCUCGUAGGUGGUUUGUCGCGUUGUUCGUGAAAACUCACAGCUUAACUGUGGGCGUGCGGGCGAUACGGGCAGACUGGAGUACUGCAGGGGAGACUGGAAUUCCUGGUGUAGCGGUGGAAUGCGCAGAUAUCAGGAGGAACACCGGUGGCGAAGGCGGGUCUCUGGGCCGGAACUGACGCUAAGGAGCGAAAGCGUGGGGAGCGAACAGG
rnacentral:rRNA from 1 species